UGCAGUCGAACGAGAAAGGGAUCUUCGGAUUCUGAGUAAAGUGGCGCACGGGUGAGUAACGCGUAAGUAAUCUACCCUGGUAUUUGGGACAACAUCGGGAAACUGAUGCUAAUACCGAAUACGUUUUCCAUGUAGCGAUACGAGGAAAAGAAAGGUGGCCUCUUCAUGAAAGCUACCGUACCAGGAUGAGCCUGCGUACCAUUAGCUAGUUGGUAGGGUAAAGGCCUACCAAGGCUACGAUGGUUAGCGGGUCUGAGAGGAUGAUCCGCCACACUGGCACUGAAACACGGGCCAGACUCCUACGGGAGGCAGCAGUGAGGAAUUUUGCACAAUGGGGGAAACCCUGAUGCAGCGACGCCGCGUGAGUGAUGAAGGCCUUAGGGUCGUAAAGCUCUGUCAAUAGGGAAGAAAUGUGUAAUGGUUAAUACCUGUUACAUUUGACGGUACCUAUAAAGGAAGCACCGGCUAAAUCCGUGCCAGCAGCCGCGGUAAUACGGAUGGUGCGAGCGUUGUUCGGAAUUACUGGGCGUAAAGGGCGCGUAGGCGGCCUUACAAGUCAGGUGUGAAAGUCCACGGCUCAACCGUGGAAGUGCAUUUGAAACUGUAAGGCUUGAGUACUGGAGGGGAGUGUGGAAUUCCUGGUGUAGAGGUGAAAUUCGUAGAUAUCAGGAGGAAUACCGGUGGCGAAGGCGACACUCUGGACAGAUACUGACGCUGAGGCGCGAAAGCGUGGGGAGCAAACAGGAUUAGAUACCCUGGUAGUCCACAGCUGUAAACGAUGUGCACUAGGUGUAGGGGGUCGUUGA
rnacentral:rRNA from 1 species